UACGUAGGGGGCAAGCGUUGUCCGGAUUCAUUGGGCGUAAAGAGCGUGUAGGCGGCCAGGUAGGUCGGUUGUGAAAACUGGAGGCUCAACCUUCAGAGGUCGACCGAAACCAUCUGGCUAGAGUCCGGGAGAGGAGAGUGGAAUUCCUGGUGUAGCGGUGAAAUGCGCAGAUAUCAGGAAGAACACCCGUGGCGAAAGCGGCUCUCUGGAACGGUACUGACGCUGAGACGCGAAAGCGUGGGGAGCGAAGCAGG
rnacentral:rRNA from 1 species